UACGAGGGUCGCAAGCGUUGUCCGGAAUUAUUGGGCGUAAAGAGCUCGUAGGCGGUUUGUCGCGUCGGAUGUGAAAACCCAGGGCUCAACCCUGGGCCUGCAUUCGAUACGGGCAGACUAGAGUAUGGCAGGGGAGACUGGAAUUCCUGGUGUAGCGGUGAAAUGCGCAGAUAUCAGGAGGAACACCGGUGGCGAAGGCGGGGUCUCUGGGCCAAAAACUGACGCUGGAGGAGCGAAAGCGUGGGGAGCGAACAGG
rnacentral:rRNA from 1 species